UUGACCUCGGAUCAGGUAGGGAUACCCGCUGAACUUAAGCAUAUCAAUAAGCGGAGGAAAAGAAACCAACAGGGAUUGCCCUAGUAACGGCGAGUGAAACGGCAACAGCUCAAAUUUGAAAUCUGGCUCU
rnacentral:rRNA from 1 species